CUCCCACCCGUGUUUACUGUACCUUAGUUGCUUCGGCGGGCCCGCCAUUCAUGGCCGCCGGGGGCUCUCAGCCCCGGGCCCGCGCCCGCCGGAGACACCACGAACUCUGUCUGAUCUAGUGAAGUCUGAGUUGAUUGUAUCGCAAUCAGUUAAAACUUUCAACAAUGGAUCUCUUGGUUCCGGCAUCGAUGAAGAACGCAGCGAAAUGCGAUAACUAGUGUGAAUUGCAGAAUUCCGUGAAUCAUCGAGUCUUUGAACGCACAUUGCGCCCCCUGGUAUUCCGGGGGGCAUGCCUGUCCGAGCGUCAUUGCUGCCCAUCAAGCACGGCUUGUGUGUUGGGUCGUCGUCCCCUCUCCGGGGGGGACGGGCCCCAAAGGCAGCGGCGGCACCGCGUCCGAUCCUCGAGCGUAUGGGGCUUUGUCACCCGCUCUGUAGGCCCGGCCGGCGCUUGCCGAACGCAAAUCAAUCUUUUCCAGGUUGACCUCGGAUCAGGUAGGGAUACCCGCUGAACUUAAGCAUAUCAAUAAGCC
rnacentral:rRNA from 1 species